AGAGUUUGAUCAUGGCUCAGAUUGAACGCUGGCGGCAGGCCUAACACAUGCAAGUCGAGCGGAUGACGGGAGCUUGCUCCUUGAUUCAGCGGCGGACGGGUGAGUAAUGCCUAGGAAUCUGCCUGGUAGUGGGGGACAACGUUUCGAAAGGAACGCUAAUACCGCAUACGUCCUACGGGAGAAAGCAGGGGACCUUCGGGCCUUGCGCUAUCAGAUGAGCCUAGGUCGGAUUAGCUUGUUGGUGAGGUAAUGGCUCUCCAAGGCGACGCUCCGUAACUGGUCUGAGAGGAUGAUCAGUCCCUCUUUUUCCGAGACACGGUCCAGACUAUUACGGCAGGCUGCAAUGGCCGUCUUUUUCCAGAGAUCCAUCUCUGUGCCGGCCUCCCGAUCCACCUUCUCGUCGUGUGUUACAAUGUACAACAAGAGUAUGGCCAUUGAUUACCGGAUUCA
rnacentral:rRNA from 1 species